CCUCCUCCUCCUCCCUUACAGGCGUUGACCGGCUUUGGAGUAGGGAUACUCAUCCAAUGCCGGGAGCCGAGCUCGAGAAGGCACCGAAGAUGGCGGCGCCGCCGAGGCCGGAUGGGAAGCCCUAAUUGCCUCGGCAGAAGGCCUCUCGUCUGUGUGAAUGAAUGAACAGAUGUGUGGUGUGCUUGCUCUGUAUGACAUUUUCUCCGAUCAUCCUUCUGUGUUUUAUCUUACUAUGCGGCCCUAAGGUCAACUCUCUUCCUCCUCCCUUCCUGGUUUUUGGGCGGAUCUUCGAGAUCCGUGUGCGGUGACGAUCUUCGAUCGAAUCGGCCCGGGUGAUGGCCUCAGUUCGAUGUUUCAUGCAGAUAAUGGAGAACAAGCAAGGAGAGGAGUUCGCAGGGAGGAGGCCGCGUACCUUUCAAGCGACGAGUGGGAGAGGACGGCCAUGUUCGCUGCGGCUGUUCCUGCUCCGUCUGAGGCGAUGGAGCCAUGGAUGCGGCCGCGGAGCUCUCCAUGAAGGGGACGAUGGCUCUGAUAAGCUUAUAAAUUCCGCCGGUCCACGGUACCACCCACUGGUCUCUGCGCGCGUGCCGCUGAACGUUUGGUUUCACCCUUAAUGGGCCCACAGGUCUAGUCGUAUCCCCGUGAAGCCCAAUAAGAGAAAUCCGAGUGGGAUAUGUGGGCCCACU
rnacentral:lncRNA from 1 species